rnacentral:rRNA from 1 species
GAGCGGAGAUAUAUGGAGCUUGCUUUAUAUAACUUAGCAGCGAACGGGUGAGUAACACGUAGAUAAUCUAUCCUAUACUGGGGGAUAGCCCGAUGAAAGUUGGAUUAAUACCGCAUAUAGCUAUAUAGUUGCAUGAUUAUGUAGUGAAAGAUUUAUUGGUAUAGGAGGAGUCUGCGGCACAUUAGCUAGUAGGUGAGGUAAAGGCUUACCUAGGCGACGAUGUGUAGCCGGUCUGAGAGGAUGAACGGCCACAAUGGAACUGAGACACGGUCCAUACUCCUACGGGAGGCAGCAGUGGGGAAUAUUGCACAAUGGGGGAAACCCUGAUGCAGCAACGCCGCGUGAGUGAAGAAGGUUUUCGGAUUGUAAAGCUCUGUUAGCAGGGAAGAGGAAGGACGGUACCUGCAGAGGAAGCCACGGCUAACUACGCGCCAGCAGCCGCGGUAAUACGUAGGUGGCAAGCGUUGUUCGGAAUAACUGGGCGUAAAGGAUGCGUAGGCGGUUAAACAAGUUAUAUGUUAAAUAUAUAGGCUUAACCUGUAGAAAGCAUAUAAAACUGUUUAACUAGAGUGCAGGAGAGGUAAGUGGAAUUCCUAGUGUAGCGGUGAAAUGCGUAGAGAUUAGGAAGAACACCAGUGGCGAAGGCGACUUACUGGACUGUAACUGACGCUGAGGCAUGAGAGCAUGGGGAGCAAACAGGAUUAGAUACCCUGGUAGUCCAUGCUGUAAACGAUGGGUACUAGGUGUGGGUUGUGAAUAACAAUUCGUGCCGUCGCAAACGCAAUAAGUACCCCGCCUG